rnacentral:tRNA from 1 species
GGAAGUGGCGAAAUUGGUAGACGCACCAGAUUUAGGUUCUGGCGCCGCGAGGCGUAAGAGUUCAAGUCUCUUCUUCC